GUCUCUUUGUUUUCUUCAUUCUCUCUGCUGGUUUCUAUCGUCCCUCUUCUCUUUGCCGCUCCUUACCCGCAAUUUGUGUUCGGUAAUGGAUUGCCUCGCCAAGAUUGAGUUUCAGGGGAAAUGUUUGCUUCAAUAUUAGUGUGUGUAUAAAUUGAAUUUACGCAGCACACCCCUCCUCCCAAUGGAUAGUUCCCCAAAACAACGUGGCAGGCCGAAGCCCUCCGGACACGACAUUUUUGGAAUUUGUUGGUACGCCGAUCAAACGAUGAGGUUUAUUGAUGGGUCUAGGGAAAUUUUGAAGGUGCAGAAAAUUCGGAGAAUCGUGUCGCAUACCGGGUUUUAUUGCUUCACAGCAGUUGUUACUUGUGCCUACACUAAUAACAUGACCCAGCUGGAAUGGAGCUUUUGACUAAUGAUGUCAAGUUAUAUGUGCUCUUGGCAAUUGCUUUGAAAUCGAAGAGUGGGGACCAAUUGAGUGGUGCGUAAUGUCUGAUCAUUUCGCCCGUCAAGGGAAAUCCCCGUUUGAACAUCACGUUGGUUGGGGUUGUGCUUACCGAUCACUACAGACCAUCAUUUCUUGGUUUAGGCUCCAGCAUUACACUUCACACAGGUGAGCUGUAAUAUUAUAAAUGUAGGAUCAGGAGAUGAAAUUCUUGAAAAAUGUCGUGAGCUGGCCUUGCAUUUUGAAACCCAGGGAACUCCCAUAAUGAUUGGUAAGUCAGAUUCAAUAUCAGCUGGUGUCGACGUCUGAUAACAAGAAAGCAGAAUACAAAGAUGAUGAAAUAUCAGCUGACGUCAAAUAUCCAGUGAAGCAUGCACUCUCUCGUGAGCUACAGGAACCGCAUCGGAGAAUUUACCACCAGUAUCUCUUUUUGCGAGCCAAUCUUAACAUCAAAGAUCAACAAAUACAAUGUCUUAGGGCCGAGUCGAGUAUGAAUGCCCAAACUGUGAAGACAUUUGUACAAGAAAACCAGAAAUUGGCUAUGGAGUGCUCAAACUUACUUUCUCAGUGUAAUGCGUAACUCAAAAAGUUUCCAUCUUUUAUUUGCUUUCAAGGGAGGUGGGGGAGUGCCAUGGUUGAUUCCGAUCAAGAUCGAACUGCAGUUGCAGCGGCGACAAUGAUAGGAGGAGAGAGCAGUAAAGGGAAGGUUGUGGGUUCAGUGAUUCUGUUCAAACAUUUAGUGAUUCCGUUCAAAUCAAUUAGUGAUUGGUUGUACGUUUGUACAAUAACAAGUUUGUAUUUGAGCACUUGCUUAUAUCCCUCCUUAUUUUUAGUUUUAGAUUUAUCCAAUAUCCCUCCUUACUCAUUCCUCAACUCUCAUUGGGUAUUUGCUUCUAUUUUUUAAAAUUCUUAUUCAUACUGAAAGUUUUAGCUAUUUUUCAGACUUUUUUCUGGAGCCGGUGUUCAAAUAUAUAUUGUAGUAAAAAUUGAGCUAAAAUUGAGGGUUUUACGCUAGUUCUUUUAUUUAUAAUGAAAUAGGCUGCUGCGUAUACAAGGCCUGUACACUUCGGUAGCUUGUAAUCUAGAUAAAUAUCAGUUGGGUAUUUUAUCAGGAAACAGGGAGAUAAACACAAAAACAGAGCAAGGCGGUGGAUAAAUUGGGGAUCGAGCCAAUUAGGGUUUCUCCUCCUUUUCUUGAUCUCAAUCGAUCAAGCAGCGGCCCAGGUGAGAACUGAUUGCCUCUGUAUGUUUAUACAUAUGUGAUUGUUGUGUGCUGCGAUUGGUGGCGGUGGCUGUGGGUUUAGCAUCGGAGAUGGGGAGUUGCAGGAGAGUUGCGAGGUUGAAAGGAAAAGGGAAGAAGGGAGGGCUGGUGGCGCUGGAUGGUGUGGUGAAGCGUCGUCGCGCCUUGGACAGCCAGCGGUGGUUUGGUCAGAGUCGAUUGCAGCACUUGUGGGUUAUUCUGGUCGAGCUUCGUCGGCAGCAAUGGGGAAAUAGAAGGCUGGGAAAGGAUGGAGAAAGGGGGCGCUAACGGAGAGGUUAUGAGAACAAGCAAAUCGAGAUGAUGGUGGUUCAUUGUUGGGUUGUAGAGUUGGCGACAGAUAUGGCUGUGUUGCCGAGAGAGAAAAUAGAGGUAAGGGGUUUGGCUGUUCGGAAACAGAGGGGGCAGCGCAAGAGAAAGAACAGGGGAACGGUGCUGGUGUGUACAGGCCGGCGUUAGUCGCCGGAGUUAGGGUGGCUGACGAGGGAAUUUGAAGAAGAAAGAAAGUGAAGCUUUUCAUGUGUGUUUUGUUGUGUAUAUGUGUGUGCUUGUAUCUGGUGAUGAAAGUCGUGUUGGAUUAGUUUGUAAUCGAAGAGGGGCUGUGGUGUGGUUGAAUGGGCUGAGUUCAGUGAAGGUCGGAGGCGUGGCGGCACUGAACUGCCAUGGCUGGGUGAGAAAGAAAGCAAAGGUAAAAGGCGGAACAAAGGUUGUCAAUUGGAAUUUUCGAGAUCAGAGGACAGGCGUGUGUUUAUGUGUGUGUUUUAUAUUGAAAACCAAUGGUAGACUGUGGUUAUGAAGAUUGAUUGAGGUGUGUGUAUGGAUGCUCGAAACCAUUGGCUAACGAGGAAUUGUGAAUGGGUGGUAGACGGCGCCGUGAGGUUACCGAAAGUGAUUAGAAAUGGAAGGAGGACGCUGUAUGGAACAAUGAGAUGGAGAAAGUACUGGGUCAAAGCAGAAGAAUGGAUGAAGGUUGGGAGUAAUUGGUGGGUGAGAAAGUGGAAUGAAAUAGGAGUUGCAGUUGAAUUGAGUUGGUUUAAGUAAAAUGAAAGGAAGCUAUAGUAUUAGCGGGGGAGUUAGUUAAAAUCAGCUGGUGGGGGAAGUUAUUUGAAAAGGAAGAAUGGUGAAGUAGGAGUGUAUGAGUGUUACGAGCUGCAGAGAAAGAAUACAAUGAUGCCAAGAGAAUAAAAUAUGAAUGUUAUUGUUAUUAAAAUUGUUAUUAUUGUUUUUAUUAACAAUGAUAAUGACAAUAAUAAUAACAAUUUUUUUAUAUUUUAUUGAGCCAAUCAUAGGUAGUUAUCUGUUUUGUAUCGUGGAAUUGUAUAUAAAUUGUAGUGUUAUUUAAAUUCCGGAUUAUAUUUAUUAAUUUAAAAUCUGCGACAAUUAUAAAUUUAAUUUAGAA